UGGGGAAUUUUGGACAAUGGGGGCAACCCUGAUCCAGCCAUCCCGCGUGUGCGAUGAAGGCCUUCUGGUUGUAAAGCACUUUUUGCCGGAAAGAAACGUCAUGGGUUAAUACCCCGUGCAACUGACGGUACCUGCAGACUACGCACCGGCCAACUCCGUGCCAGCAGCCGCGGUAAUACGUAGGGUGCAAGCGUUAAUCGGAAUUACUGGGCGUAAAGCGUGCGCAGGCGGUUCGGAAAGAAAGAUGUGAAAUCCCAGAGCUCAACUUUGGAACUGCAUUUUAAACUACCGGGCUAGAGUGUGUGAGAAGGAGGUGGAAUACCGCGUGUAGCAGUGAAAUGCGUAGAUAUGAGGAGGAACACCGAUGGCGAAGGCAGCCUACUGAGAUAACACUGACGCUCAGGCACGAAAGCGUGGGGAGCGAACAGG
rnacentral:rRNA from 1 species